rnacentral:lncRNA from 1 species
AUUGGUUGAUUGCACAGGAGAAUGUUCUUCCCAUCCCAGGAGCCAAAAAUGCAGAUCAAGCUAAAGAAUUUGCUGGUGCAUUGGGUUGGAGACUCACUCAAGAUGAAGUUGACGAACUUCGGUCUUUGGCGUUAGAUGUAAAACCGGUUACAGGUUUCCCUGUCGAAAAAUUAUAAGCUGACAAAGAUAAUUUUACAUGUUGAACUUCGAUCUUUGGCAUUAGAUGUAAAACCUGUUACAGGUUUCCCUGUCGAAAAAUUAUAAGCUGACAAGAUAAUUUUUACAUGUACAUUUCCCCCCUCAAAUGUCUACAUGUAUUGCACAGUGAUUAGUUUUAGAGAGUAUAUGAUUUAGAAAGUCUUGAAAAUGUUAAAGGUAUUGCUGAGGCCUUGAAUACUAGUAUUCUUCAAGGAAUGCAAAUGUGAAACAUUUAGUGUAUCUUAAGCAAAAGUUUUAAUUUUGCACCAUUAAUGGCAGUCAAAUCCUUCUUUAAUAAAAUUGUUUGUUUUAAAAUA